GCCGGCAUAGCUCAGCGGUAGAGCGUCUGCCUUGUAAGCAGGGGGUCGGGGGUUCAAGUCCCUCUGCCGGCACCA
rnacentral:tRNA from 1 species